UCCACCUGCUGUCUGGAGCCCAGCCCCA
rnacentral:piRNA from 1 species